CGUUCCCUGUUCUCCCUUUUCCUUUCACCCGGGUUCCCUCGGCCGUGAUUUCCCCCUCCCCCCUCCUUCCUUCCCCAUUGAAAUCAAGAUGGAGGCUCGCGGCAGCCGCCGGCGCCCGUGAUCCCGGAGGUCUCGCCGGCCACGGGCCCCCGCCCUCGCGACUGCGCGUCCGGGAGGCGCGUGCUGCUGCCCGCGCUCCGGCCGGCGCCCGGGAGGCCGUGGCUCCGCGCCUCCGCCCCUCGGCCAGCUCGCGGCUACCGGGCGGAGUCCUCGUCUAUGUGGGCGCGCUCCUUGGGCCGAGCCGCCGCCGCCGCCCCCCGCCGCCCCGGGGCU
rnacentral:lncRNA from 1 species